CCUACGGGAGGCAGCAGUGAGGAAUUUUCUGCAAUGGGCGAAAGCCUGACAGAGCAAUACCGCGUGAGGGAUGAAGACUUACUGAGUUGUAAACCUCGGUGCCUUAAGGAAGAAGAUCUGACGGUACUCAAGGUGGAAAGCAUCGGCUAACUCCGUGCCAGCAGCCGCGGUAAGACGGGGGAUGCAAGUGUUAUCCGGAAUUACUGGGCGUAAAGCGUCUGCAGGUGGUUUUAUAAGUCUGCUGUUAAAUCUUGAGGCUCAACCUCAAAUCUGCAGUGGAAACUAUAAGACUUGAGUAUAGUAGGGGUAGAGGGAAUUUCCAGUGGAGCGGUGAAAUGCGUAGAUAUUGGAAAGAACACCGAUGGCGAAGGCACUCUACUGGGCUAUUACUGACACUCAGAGACGAAAGCUAGGGGAGCAAAUGGGAUUAGAUACCCCAGUAGUCCUAGCCGUAAACGAUGGAUACUCGUAUGUUGGUACGUACGUACGUACCCGUUCCGUACGUAUUACUUACGUACUAACGUACGUUAAGUUACGUCCGUCCGUCGGGAGGUACGCGUCGCGAGAGUAGAACGUACGAAAGGAAGUUAGUACGGCGUGAGACGUCGCCGACGGACGACGACGAGGGAGGAGG
rnacentral:rRNA from 1 species